GGCCAAAAUUAAUUUUUGAGGGGGGAGGCCCAAAUAAUCUCCAUGGAAAUGAGAUGUGCCAAUGCUAACGCAACUGCAUACCAAAUAUCAUUGACCUACCACUUGUGGUUCACCAUAAACCAGACAUAAUCACAAACAUACAUUGAAUGCUGUAUAUUGACCUAUAAUGGUUUACUUUUAGAAAUUGUGACUUGGAUCGAGAGGUGUCUCAUUGGUACUCAUACCACAUCUUCCUAUAUCUAUUGUUGACAUUAUGAUCAUAUACUCAAGUAAGGUUGCAAUUCAAAAUGUCAUAUUCAGUCUAACAUCAAGAAACCUUUAUAUUUCUCAUUUUUCCCUACUUUUAGCAACAUUGACCUUGACCUUUGACCUGGUGAUUUCUAAGUCAAAACAGACCUAACCCCCAAUAUAUCCAAGUGAAGUUGAAUUCUGAUAUGUGGUAAUAUAUUACCAAUUUGGAAAUACUUUUUGGCACAAAUUGCAGUCAUUUUUCAUCAUCUUUGACCUUGACCCUGAACAUCAAAA
rnacentral:lncRNA from 1 species